rnacentral:lncRNA from 10 species
CUCACUGCAGCCUGGACCUACUGGGCUCAAGGAAUCCUCCCCCUAGUAGCUGGGACCACAGGCAUGCACCACCACAUCUGGCUAAUUUAAAAAAAAUUUUUAUAGAGGCGAGGUCUCCCUAUGUUGCCAGGGCCGGUCUCAAACUACUGGGUUCAAGUGAUCCACUUGCCUUGGCCUCCCAGAAAACUUAUAUAAAAACAUAUUAGAAUGGUUAAAAAGAAAAGGUGAGUGAGGAUGGCUGCAGGACUUUGCGAGGAUCGAAGCUGCUGCUUCAACGGCCACUGGCUGCUUGGAUGCCACUCAUCCUGGCCUCACCCUUAACUCAGGUGCUGCAGUUUCCUAAUGGCAACAAGUUUGUCCUCACGUACAGAGUGAUGCUUUUGAAGGAGAACUCGACACAAGCCUCUGGCCUUUCCAUCUAAAGUUUUUGUUUGUUUUUUGAGACAGGGUCUUG